rnacentral:tRNA from 1 species
GCCGGGGUGGCCGAAUGGUUCAGGCGGCGGGCUGCAGACCCGCAGAAUGUGGGUUCAAUUCCCACCCCCGGCU